rnacentral:rRNA from 1 species
GUGGGGAAUAUUGCACAAUGGGCGAAAGCCUGAUGCAGCAACGCCGCGUGAGGGACGACGGCCUUCGGGUUGUAAACCUCUUUUAGUAGGGAAGAAGCGAAAGUGACGGUACCUGCAGAAAAAGCACCGGCUAACUACGUGCCAGCAGCCGCGGUAAUACGUAGGGUACAAGCGUUAUCCGGAAUUAUUGGGCGUAAAGAGCUCGUAGGCGGUCUGUCGCGUCUGCUGUGAAAACUGGAGGCUCAACCUCCAGCCUGCAGUGGGUACGGGCAGACUAGAGUGCGGUAGGGGAGAUUGGAAUUCCUGGUGUAGCGGUGGAAUGCGCAGAUAUCAGGAGGAACACCGAUGGCGAAGGCAGAUCUCUGGGCCGUAACUGACGCUGAGGAGCGAAAGCGUGGGGAGCGAACAGGAUUAGAAACCCCAGUAGUCC